rnacentral:rRNA from 1 species
UACGGGGGGGGCAAGCGUUGUUCGGAAUUACUGGGCGUAAAGGGCUCGUAGGCGGCCAACUAAGUCGGACGUGAAAUCCCCAGGCUCAACCUGGGAACUGCGUCCGAUACUGGAUGGCUUGAAUCCGGGAGAGGGAUGCAGAAUUCCAGGUGUAGCGGUGAAAUGCGUAGAUAUCUGGAGGAACACCGGCGGUGUAGACGGCUUGCUAGACCAUAACUGACGCUGAGGCACGAAAGCGUGGGUAGCAAACAGG